rnacentral:rRNA from 1 species
AUGGGGGAGCAGACCGCCAAUCUCACCGCGCUCAUGGAGACGCUGCUCUCCCGCUUCGAUGAAGAGAAGGUGCUCGCCGACAAGCGCGCGGAGGCGCAGACGGCCUUCAACAAUCAAGUCUCCCAAGAGCUCCAGAGCCUAACCAAGCAGAUUGGGCUCACCCAGGCGGACGUGGAUGACGUGCGCAAGGUCACGUCCCCUUCGGCGUCGUCGGCUCCGUCAUCGGGGUCGCAGGUGGAGGAUCCAUCGGCGGCGGUGCUCCACACCCCCGGAAUGCGGGUGGGGUCGCAGCAACAACCACCCCCGCCCGACCCGCGCACGGCGCCCCCUCCGCCCGAUCUGCGCACGGCGCCUCCUCCGCCCGAUCCGCGUACGGCGCCUCCUCCGAGCGCGCUACCUUUUCCGUUGACCAUCACGGGACAAGCUUCGACUGCACGCCUCACCAACGACGGGCCACCCCUGCUCGCGAGGCCCGACGGACCACGGGCGCCGCCGGAGCGUGCACCUCCGCCCGUCCUGCACGAGGAGUACGCGGUCAGGCCGCCCAAGCAUCAGUUUCCCCGUUUUGACGGCGAGGCUCCGCGUGUCUGGUUGGAUCGCUGCUUGGUGUAUUUUGAGCUGUACCGUGUGCCGCUACACAACUGGGUGGCCACGGCGGCUCUAUACGUCGACGGCCAUGCUGCUCUCUGGCUUUGGGCGUUCCGUCAGACCCACGGUGAGCUCACGUGGGACCUGUUCCGCCAAGCGGUAGUGGAGGAGUUUGGCCCUCAAGAAUUUGAGUCCCUGAUGCACAAACUACUUCAACUUUGUCAGACGGGCAGAGACGUCGAGUACAGGCAACAAUUCGAAGUCUAUAUGUACAAUCUGUUGGCAUUGGACGCCACUCUUAGUCCCAAAUUCUUCGUCACUCAAUUCCUGCUGGGUCUCAAAGAUGAACUGCGCACCGCGGUGCGCCUUCAAGCUCCAUCCAGCAUCACUCGCGCCACGGUCUUCGCCAGGAUUCAGGAGGAGGAAUUGGAGCAGCAACGCCCCCGUGUCCGUCAGACCGUCACCGGUCGCCCACCACCCCUGCCUGGCCGACCGCCUCCCUCGGUUGGUCCGGCAACACCGGGGGUGCCGGCCACGCGUCCAGCUCUGGCCACUGCGAGUGCCGAUGAUUUUGGCCGGGAACAUCAGCUCUGA